GUUCCUCACACACACGAGGUGACUUUCCCCGCUUGAGGCUAAAGUCCCACCUGGGACGGCUCCACGGCAGACACACAGCAGGUGCUACUAACCAGAGUCAUGAGCAAUGCUUCCGUUGGAAGCACCUUCUCCGGGCAAGGCCUGUGCCGAGCCUUGACAAGCGAGGCCUCUCGCCUCCCAACUCUUCAAAACACGCAUUAGCAUGUUCCCUUUUUUAAAAAAUUGCGGUAACAUAUACAGCACAUAAAAGUCACCAUUUUCACCAUUUUGAAGUGCACGCCCAGGUCAGCGGCAUUCACGCUGUCUUGCUACCCUCACUGCGUCCAUCCACGGAACUUUUGAUCUCAGUGCUGCGAACGGUCUGGAUUUGUGUCGUCAGACUCUCUGGGUCCAAAUCCUGGGACAGCUGCCCACACGCCGUGUCACCCUGAGCCGAGGGCUUGUUACCGCUCCUGCCUCUCGCUUUCCCAUUCCUGAGAUUGUGACAGAGCCUGAGUCACCAGGCUGCUGGGAGGCCUGGGCGAGGCAGCGUGCCUGGCAUCAUGAAGCGCUCAGGGCAAGCAGCCUGCGAGUGUUCUGGUGAGGAUCAGAGUGAGCAUCGACUUCCUGGCUUUGAGAUGAGAGACCACGAGUAGCAAGAAGGGUUAUGGUGACGCCAAAGAUGAAGAAACAAAGGCACAGAAACUUGUUCAAGAUUCCAGAGCUGGCGGGUGCUGCAAGCAACAUUUGGACCAAGGCAGCUGGCUCCAGAGUCCACCCUCUUAAACCACCCUGCUUGGCUUCUCUUCUACACAUCCUUUUACUCUGACCUGUGAAGUCACUCCUGAUACGUAUUUCAGGAAUUGCCCUCCUGCUCUGUGUACCCAGAGCCCUUUGCUGGUCCAUAUAGGAUUCCUGUUGUCUUUGAGUGAGGCUUUUAUUAGCCUUCGUCCCCUACCAGUGGGGAGCUUUGUAUGGACUGGGAUUUGGUGCAUCCACCAUUCUCACUUCCAGAUUCUUUCCUGGUGAUUUGAAGCAUUUGUGGGCUAAAAUGAACUGAAACUUAAUUAAUUAGAAGGUCCCAUAAUGAAUAAACUCUUAAAGACAGUCUUGGUAAGAUGCUCCGUAAAAGAUUUAACUUAAGCUUCCAAAUGUAGAUACUUCUCCAUUCAAGGGCUGGUUGUUUGAGGUUUUUUCAACCUCCUGCUUUUCCUUCCAUUUCUUCUGAACUUUUAGACAUUCCAUAAUUUGAGAGAAUCACCAUGAGGAGAUAGAGGAUGAGGAAAAGCAUGUUGAGAUCAUAGCAGUUCUGUCUCUUACCAGUUCAGUGACUUUAGGAAAGUCAUUUGAGCUUCUGGAAUCUGUUUCUUCAGCCAUAAAGUGGGGUCAUUAUCAUACUUAGUGACCUGGUACUGCAUGGAAAGCAGCUGAUCCAGGGCUUGGCUAAUAAUAAAAGCUGCAUAAUUUUCUUUUUC